rnacentral:rRNA from 2 species
GGUUGGGGGAUGGACUCGCGGCCUAUCAGCUUGUUGGUGAGGUAAUGGCUCACCAAGGCGACGACGGGUAGCCGGCCUGAGAGGGUGACCGNCCACACUGGGANUGAGACACGGCCCAGACUCCUACGGGAGGCAGCAGUGGGGAAUAUUGCACAAUGGGCGCAAGCCUGAUGCAGCAACGCCGCGUGAGGGAUGACGGCCUUCGGGUUGUAAACCUCUUUUAGUAGGGAAGAAGCGAAAGUGACGGUACCUGCAGAAAAAGCACCGNCUAACUACGUGCCAGCAGCCGCGGUAAUACGUAGGGUGCAAGCGUUGUCCGGAAUUAUUGGGCGUAAAGAGCUCGUAGGCGGUUUGUCGCGUCUGCUGUGAAAUCCCGAGGCUCAACCUCGGGCUUGCAGUGGGUACGGGCAGACUAGAGUGCGGUAGGGGAGAUUGGAAUUCCUGGUGUAGCGGUGGAAUGCGCAGAUAUCAGGAGGAACACCGAUGGCGAAGGCAGAUCUCUGGGCCGUAACUGACGCUGAGGAGCGAAAGCGUGGGGAGCGAACAGGAUUAGAUACCCUGGUAGUCCACGCCGUAAACGUUGGGCGCUAGAUGUAGGGACCUUUCCAC